AAGGUUUCCGUAGGUGAACCUGCGGAAGGAUCAUUGAAUCUAUCAAUACCAACACGAGAACCAAUUCGUCUGGCCCUGCGCAAGCAGCGCCCUCGGCAACCGUUCACUCGGUUGCCUUGGGUGGGCCUAUAGAACCUCCUAACAAGGGGUGCUAUAGGUUGGUCUCUUAUCCAACAUCAACACCAAACCAAAAAUUCUAAAGUAUAAAUGCAAUCGGCAUUGCCGUUGCAAUUAACCAAGACAACUCUCAACAACGGAUAUCUUGGCUCUCGCAACGAUGAAGAACGCAGCGAAAUGCGAUACGUAGUGUGAAUUGCAGAAACCGUGAACCAUCGAAUCUUUGAACGCAUAUUGCGCUCGAGGCCUCGGCCAAGAGCAUGUCUGCCUCAGCGUCGGGUUAAUACUCGCUCAAACAAACCCUGUGUUUGCACUGAGCGGAUCUGGCAGUCCCACUCCGCAAGGCGUGGGUCUGCUGAAGCGCAGAGGUUGAUGUAUGGACCCUCUAUGGGCCGCAACUGGGUAGGCAUUCAUUUGCUAUUUCUAGUUGUUGCCUAGUGCAGUGCAUCCAACCCUCAAUCAGGAACCAAACCCAUUUCUCGACCUGAGCUCAGGCAAGAAUACC
rnacentral:rRNA from 1 species